CAUUAUCAACCAUCAAGCCUGGCUUGUCGUUGGACCUUUGGUCGUCGAGACCGGUCCGAAAGAUAAUGGACGGGCGUCUGGUGGCCCCCAAUGCAACGAGCUCUUUACACAGCACGCAUCGGUGUGGUCGGCAGCCCCGCCCCAAACCCCCCUUUUCUCAGGUUGACCUCGGAUCAGGUAGGAAUACCCGCUGAACUUAA
rnacentral:misc_RNA from 1 species